rnacentral:rRNA from 1 species
AAGAAAGUACAAAAGAGCGUAUGGCGGAUGCCUUGGCUCUCAGAGGCGAUGAAGGACGUGAUAGGCUGCGAUAAGCUUCGGGGAGGUGCGUAUAACCUUCGAUCCGGAGAUCUCCGAAUGGGACAACCCAUCAUGCUGAAGGCAUGAUAUCCCGACUUGUCGGGAGGCAAACCCGGUGAACUGAAACAUCUAAGUAGCCGGAGGAAAAGAAAACAAUAGUGAUUCCCUAAGUAGUGGCGAGCGAACAGGGAACAGCCCAAACCAACUUUGUUACGGCAAAGUUGGGGUUGUAGGACUGUAUCAUGGACUGUAAAUUUAUAGCAGAAAACUUCUGGAAAGUUGAACCAUAGAAGGUGAUAGUCCUGUAUGCGAAAUAGAUUUACUACCUAACAGUAUCCUGAGUACCACGGGACCGGGGAAAUCCUGUGGGAAUCUGCCAGCACCAUCUGGUAAGGCUAAAUACUACUGAGAGACCGAUAGUGUACAAGUACCGUGAGGGAAAGGUGAAAAGUACCCCGAACAGGGGAGUGAAAUAGAACCUGAAACCAUGCGCUUACAACCUGUCGGAGUCCCGACAUGUCGGGAUGACGGCGUGCCUUUUGCAUAAUGAGCCUACGAGUUACUCUUCUCUAGCAAGGUUAACCCUGGUUACGGGGGCAGCCGAAGCGAAAGCAGGUCUGAAUAGGGCGCUUAGUUAGGGGAGGUAGACGCGAAACUUUGUGAUCUACCCAUGGUCAGGGUGAAGUUCUGGUAACACAGAAUGGAGGCCCGAACCAGUAAACGUUGAAAAGUUUUUGGAUGAACUGUGGGUAGGGGUGAAAGGCUAAUCAAACUGAGAAAUAGCUCGUACUCCCCGAAAUGCCUUUUGGGGCAGCCUUGGAGUUGAGUGUUAUAGAGGUAGAGCUACUGAUUGGACUAGGGGGCUUCACCGCCUACCAAAUCCUGAUAAACUCCGAAUGCUAUAACAUAUAUCCAGGAGUGAGCGUAUGGGUGCUAAGGUCCGUACGCGAGAGGGAAACAACCCAGACCAUCAGCUAAGGUCCCCAAAUAUAUACUAAGUUGAUCAAACGAGGUCUGAUUGCUUUGACAGCUAGGAUGUUGGCUUGGAAGCAGCCAUUCAUUUAAAGAGUGCGUAACAGCUCACUAGUCGAGCGAUCGGGCGUGGAUAAUACUCGGGCAUUAAGUAUAUUACCGAAGCUAUGGAUUACCGCAAAUGCGGUACUGGUAGGGGAGCAUUCCAGUGGCAUCGAAGGUGUGUCGUGAGGCAUGCUGGAGCGGCUGGAAAAGAAAAUGUAGGCAUAAGUAACGAUAAUGCGGGUGAGAAACCCGCACACCGAAAGACUAAGGUUUCCUGAUCAACGCUAAUCGGAUCAGGGUUAGUCGGGGCCUAAGACAAACCCGAAAGGGGUAGUCGAUGGACAACUGUUUAAUAUUACAGUACCAGCUUUCAUUAAAAAGGGGACGGAACAUUAUAAGAUUCGCGUACUGACGGAAUAGUACGUUAAAUCCUGUUAGGCAGGAGAUAGUACACCAAGCCUUCGGGUGAGGUGAUAGUAAUCGGAUCGUGUUUCCAAGAAAAGCCGAAGAAAGCUGCCCGUACCGCAAACCGACACAGGUAGUCGAGGAGAGAAUCCAAAGGUGCUCGAGUGAAUCAUGGCUAAGGAACUAGGCAAAUUAACCCUGUAACUUCGGGAGAAAGGGUCCCUACAGCAAUGUAGGGCGCAGUGAAACGGCCCAGGCGACUGUUUAUCAAAAACACAUGGCUCUGCUAAAUCGAAAGAUGACGUAUAGGGCCUGACACCUGCCCGGUGCUGGAAGGUUAAGAGGAGAGGUUAGGAGUAAUCCGAAGCUUUGAAUUGAAGCCCCAGUAAACGGCGGCCGUAACUAUAACGGUCCUAAGGUAGCGAAAUUCCUUGUCGGGUAAGUUCCGACCUGCACGAAUGGUGUAACGAUCUGGGCACUGUCUCAGCCAUGAACUCGGUGAAAUUGUAGAUCCGGUGAAGAUGCCGGAUACCCGCAACGGGACGAAAAGACCCCGUGAACCUUCACUACAGCUUAACAUUGACAUUGGAUAAACAAUGUGUAGGAUAGGUGGGAGGCUGCGAAGCGGUUUCGCCAGGAAUCGUGGAGCCACCGUUGAAAUACCACCCUUUGUUUAUUCGAUGCCUAAUCCCGGUUAUUCGGGAGACAGUGUUUGGUGGGUAGUUUGACUGGGGUGGUCGCCUCCAAAAGCGUAUCGGAGGCUUCCAAAGGUACCCUCAGCAUGCUUGGUAACCAUGCGUAGAGUGCAAUAGCAUAAGGGUGCUUGACUGUGAGACUUACAAGUCGAGCAGGAACGAAAGUUGGGUAUAGUGAUCCGGCGGUUCCGUAUGGAAGGGCCGUCGCUCAAAGGAUAAAAGGUACUCCGGGGAUAACAGGCUGAUCACUCCCAAGAGCUCACAUCGACGGAGUGGUUUGGCACCUCGAUGUCGGCUCGUCACAUCCUGGGGCUGAAGAAGGUCCCAAGGGUUCGGCUGUUCGCCGAUUAAAGUGGCACGCGAGCUGGGUUCAGAACGUCGCGAGACAGUUCGGUCUCUAUCUGUUGUGGGCGUUGGAAACUUGAGAGGACCUGACCUUAGUACGAGAGGACCGGGUUGGACAAACCUCUGGUGUAUCUGUUGUAGCGCCAGCUGCAUCGCAGAGUAGCUAUGUUUGGAUGAGAUAAGUGCUGAAAGCAUCUAAGCACGAAACUCACCUCAAGAUGAGGUUUCCUUUAAGGGCCGUUCAAGACUAGGACGUUGAUAGGCUGCAGGUGUAAAGAUGGUAACAUCUGAGCCGAGCAGUACUAAUUGCCCGAAAGCUUUCUACA